CCAGCGUCAAGUUUUAAUUUCAUUUCGCUCGGGUAACUCUCGUACAUUGUGCGCGCAUGAGCGCAAGCGUUUCCAUACACACACACGCAUACACACACAUAUACGGUGCCUAACGAGAAUCAAGUGCAUUGUACGUGUCUCUACUAGAACGGAAUAUAUUAUAAUAUGUAUAUACGUAUGUAUUCUUCCAACGGAUAAAUGUGGUUUAGUCGACAAGAAAGUAGUUCCGUCAAGAAUGCCUUGCUUAAUUUAAAAUGAAAAUUGAAAUGAUUUAGAUAACGAAAAUGGUUAUUUCCCUACUCGAUCGUCGAGUUAAUAUAACUUUCUUGUUAUUAUAGAUUCGUAUUUAUAUAUGUAUUUAUAUAUAUUUUAGCAGAUACAAGGUGGACUUUCUUUUAUGUGGUCUUUUAUGGCACCACAGUGGUUUCACCAUCACUCACCCAAUUGUUUUGUGCAUGACACCAACGUAGUGCUACCGGCAUUUGUCCGAUAGUUUUUACAUGGUCCCAACAUUGGGCCACCGGACGACAUAGUGUUAAUAUAGUAUCGUUAAAUUCUUUAUGAAUCAGAAAAGCAUGCGUUGAAAAUUAAUUUGAUUUGUUGUUAAAAAAAGAAAGAGAGAUAGAGGAUAAGAGUACAGAUGCAUUGAUGGAUUAAUAAAAUGAAAUAACGGAGGAUAAUUCAAUAAUAGGAAACCAAUUUGAAUGACAAAACAUAUUUAAAACGAAAGACAGGAAGUUUAAACAUGUGAUUCACUCGCAUCAUAAUGUUUACUUUAAACUUGAUUUGAGAAGAAAGAAAAAAAUUACAAAUACAAUUUGUAAUUAAAGCAAAUACAUUAAAGAUACGAAGUACGGUUGUUCGUGGUCAGACAACCAUUUCUGUAAUCAAUUUUUUUCGCAGAAUUCAAAAAUUGCUAUUAGCGAUUUUGUAAAUCGUAUUGUGAAUUUGAAAAAAAAACACGAAGAAAAAGGAAAAACGAUAGAGAGAAAAAUAACGAACACACACAAACACACUUGCACAUAUACAAGAACUCUGUAAUAACUUUCCGCGUGACAAGAUAAAAA
rnacentral:lncRNA from 1 species